rnacentral:rRNA from 1 species
GAUGAACGCUAGCGGCAGGCUUAACACAUGCAAGUCGAGGGGUAUUGGUUUUCGGACCAAGAGACCGGCGCACGGGUGCGUAACGCGUAUGCAAUCUACCUUUCACAGAGGGAUAGCCCAGAGAAAUUUGGAUUAAUACCUCAUAGUAUUAUAGAAUGGCAUCAUUUUAUAAUUAAAGUCACAACGGUGAAAGAUGAGCAUGCGUCCCAUUAGCUAGUUGGUAAGGUAACGGCUUACCAAGGCUACGAUGGGUAGGGGUCCUGAGAGGGAGAUCCCCCACACUGGUACUGAGACACGGACCAGACUCCUACGGGAGGCAGCAGUGAGGAAUAUUGGUCAAUGGACGCAAGUCUGAACCAGCCAUGCCGCGUGCAGGAUGACGGUCCUAUGGAUUGUAAACUGCUUUUGCACAGGAAGAAACAACGCUACGUGUAGCGUCUUGACGGUACUGUGAGAAUAAGGAUCGGCUAACUCCGUGCCAGCAGCCGCGGUAAUACGGAGGAUCCAAGCGUUAUCCGGAAUCAUUGGGUUUAAAGGGUCCGUAGGCGGUUUAGUAAGUCAGUGGUGAAAGCCCAUCGCUCAACGGUGGAACGGCCAUUGAUACUGCUAGACUUGAAUUAUUAGGAAGUAACUAGAAUAUGUAGUGUAGCGGUGAAAUGCUUAGAGAUUACAUGGAAUACCAAUUGCGAAGGCAGGUUACUACUAAUAUAUUGACGCUGAUGGACGAAAGCGUGGGUGGCGAACAGGAUUAGAUACCCUGGUAGUCCACGCCGUAAACGAUGGAUACUAGCUGUUGGGGGCAACUUCAGUGGCUAAGCGAAAGUGAUAAGUAUCCCACCUGGGGAGUACGUUCGCAAGAAUG